rnacentral:rRNA from 1 species
GUCUACGGCCAUGCCACCCUGAACAAGCCCGAUCCCAUCAGAAGCUAAGCAGGGUCGGACCUAGUUAGUACUUGGAUGGUAGAACACCUAAGAAGAUCAGGUGCUGUAGGCA